rnacentral:lncRNA from 1 species
AUCUGUUGUUAUUUAGGCAUGCCUGACCCUUCAUGACCCUAUAUGGGAUUUUCUUGGCAAAGUUACUGGAAUGGUUUGCCAUUUCCUUUUCUAGCUCAUUUUUCACCAGGGAAUAUACUGAAACCUACAGGGUUAAAUGACUUGCCCAAUGUCACAGAGCUAGUAAGUAUCUGGGGCAAGAUUUGAACUUAGGAAGAUGAGCACUCUAUUCACUGUGGUGAAAUGGGGGUGAAUAAAUAAUAUACUACCUACCUCACUGGGUUGUGAGGAGAGAAAAAACACUUUAUAAACCUGCAUAAUACAAAGAAAAUAUAUGUAUCAUAUGCAUAUAUAAUUUUUGUUGGAAGGAAGAGACUUCUAAGUGCCCAUACUUCUAACUCCUGUUUUUACCUGCCCCUUUUCUCUUUCAGGAAAAAGCAUCAUUUGAGAUGGGGAAAUCUAGUGGUAUUUCCUUGAGGGGUGGGGCUUAAGAAUGAACCUCCAAUAAAUAAGUCAAACUUAAGGGCAAAAGACCCAGAGAAAUCUAUGAUUAUUAUGGAAAAUAUCAAUAUCCUCAUAUUUGCAGCUGUGUUUGAACUCCCUCUGAGUUCUUCCCCAUUUCCAUUUUCCACUUCAUGGCUGGGCUGAUGCAGUGACAUCACAAUGGUUGUUAGGGACAGAAUGGACUAAGGAAGGACCUGAGAAGGUGAAAGAAGAUCUCUCCCUCCUAACUCCUCUUUCCAUGUCUUUUUCCUGUCCUUCCUCCUCCUUUCAUCACCUUUCCCUUUUAUCCUUCCCACUAUCCCAGCUAGGUAGAAGUUGUGUGGAAUCAUAUUUGAAGUUUAUAAAAAAAUGAAUGAAGAUUUUAGUCAGAGCUCUGACCACAACUCCAGUCCAAACAAGAAAACCAUCCAGAGUCUGAAAAAUUCGGGAAAGGAGCAAACCUUCAGGGACCGGAGGCAGAAGGAAAAAUUGAGAGAUAACUUCCUGUGGCAGAACGAAUGGUGGGGGGAAAACAGGCUCUGCACAUUUCUCCCCCCUGUGCUUGGGCCCUGUCUCUGUGGAUGCAGCUUAAGAACGAAAUUAGUGCUUCACCCUCGGCCCCCAACACUUCCCAGGCAGACUGCCCCAAAGCUUCCAUAUUUACUAUCCAAGAGAGAGUCAACACCAUCAAUGGCCUGGUCUCAAACACGUCCUACUUCUCCUUCAUCUUUACACCCAACCUCCCCGACUGGUCUCCAGCCUACCAGUCACCCUCUGCAACCCCGGCAACUGGUCCCUUUAGGUAUUUGGCCCCAAGGUUUUAUCAUGGCUCCUCCCAAGAACAGGCCUCCCAGAAGCCAUUCCCACUUUCCUUAGGGAGGUACCCCAUUCCCUCAAGGAGAAUGAUAACUCCCUAAUCCAUUUAUAUUAAUAAUAAAAUGUAUAUUAAAAAUAAAUAUAUAUUUA